UCCCUUGUGUGGCCUACCACACCUUGCACAAACUGCAUUAUCCGCACCAGAGCUUGAGCCACUCCCAAACCCCAGACUCGACUUGACCUUGUUCCAGAACUUAUUCUUCUUACCCUUGGGUUUACCCCAUCUCUUACUGCCUGAAGCUGCUGCACUCAAGGUAGAGGGAUCUAACCUUCCCCCACCCGGAGUUUUAGAACCAGAAGCUUGUGCCACUGUCUGCUUAACUGUCCCCUGAAUGAUGGCACUAGCCUCCAUUCUCCUAGCCAUGUCUACUAUGGCAUGAAAACUCUCUCUAUCUGCUGACUAUAUCAAGGAGGAAUACCUGGAAUGGAGCUUCAUGAUAUACCUCCUCGACUUCUUCUGGUCUGUACUAAGGUCUUGCCCAGCAAAUGGCAGCAACUCCAUAAACCUGUCAGUAUAUUCGUCUACACUCAUGUCAUCAGUUUGCCUCAACUGCUCGAAUUCUAUCAUCUUCAAUUCCCUUGAACUAUCAGGGAAAGCCCAUCCUGCAAACUCGUUUGCAAACUCUUCCCAAGUCAUGCUGUC
rnacentral:lncRNA from 1 species